CCAGCAGCUGCGGUAAUUCCAGCUCCAAUAGCGUAUAUUAAAGUUGUUGCGGUAAAAAAGCUCGUAGUUGGAUUUCUACCGAAGAUAGCCGGUCGGGUCUUCGACCUUGUAUCUGGUUUUGUCUUUGGUAUCCUCAUGGGGAACGUUGCUGCGCUUCACUGCGUGGUGCGGUAUCCAUGACUUUUACUUUGAGGAAAUUAGAGUGUUCACGGCAGGCAAACGCCCUGAAUAUAUUAGCAUGGAAUAAUAACAUAGGAUCUUCGUCCUAUUUUGUUGGUUUCUAGGGCUAAGAUAAUGAUUAAUAGGGAUAAUUGGGGGCAUCUGUAUCAACGCGUCAGAGGUGGAAUUCUUGGAUUGCGUUGCGACAAACUACUGCGAAAGCAUUUGCCAAGGAUGUUUUCA
rnacentral:rRNA from 1 species